AAAAUGGAUUACGAGACUCCAUCACCAGCUUCGCAAGGAACAAGUUCAAGUUUAGACAGUCCUGUCAGAGCUAGGGGAAGACAAGAAUUGAUGAAAUGUCACAUGAAGAGACUAAGUAUAUUUUGCAUCAGACAGCACAGCAGUUUCCUUCUUUGAUUUUUGACUUGGUCAAAGACAGUAGUGGAAACAGUGGAGGUUACCAUCCCAGACCAGAUGGAAACAUGUACAGUCCAGAUUGGUGUUUGUGGUAACUGCAGAGAAAUGCCUACACAACCAGAGAAGCUCUGCUGCAAGAAAGAUCUACCAAAUUGUAUAACUUUGCUUCCGGAUUUCAAAGUUCUUAUUUUGGACGAAGCUGUCUUGGCCCUAGCACGCCUUUACAGGCAAGACAUGUUUGCUUUGCCAAAUGAGGAGGACUGGAAGAAAGCCAACAGGCAUGCUGCCUACAGACAAUAUUGCCUACAGACAAUAUAUAUUGUGGCAAGUUGGUCGUCUUGGUACUGGUGACAGACGGGUCAUCCCAAGCCGUGCGGUUUGGAAAAUUAGAGACGGGUUCCCUGAUAAAUUUGGACAGUACACUGGUUUCAAGGCAUUCAGGAUUGCUUAAUUGAUAUCAUAUAUGUGUUAUAUAAGGUAUUUGUCCAAUGAUAAGUAUGAUGUAAAUGAUGAAUUGUUGAAAUAUGUUCACUUAUGUACCAAUGUCCAUGGAUGUUUAAUGAUGAUGAUGAUGUGUCAUAGAUAAGUUUGUAUAAUGAUGAUGAUGUGUCAUAGAUAAGUUUGUAUAAUCAUGUUUUGAAGUGGUGAUAUUCACUAAUGUAUCUGUUAUGAUGAUGAUGAUUUUAAAACUGUUAUGAUGAUGAUGAUUUUAAAAUACUUUACAUAUGUAUGUGUAGAUAAGGAAUGUUGAAUUAUAAUGCAUGGGAAGAUUGUAAGAAAUCUUGUAAUUUAAAUA